rnacentral:rRNA from 1 species
CGUGGUAAUUCUAGAGCUAAUACAUGCUGAAAACUCCGACUUCGGAAGGAGGGUGUUUAUUAGAUACAGAACCAAUGCCCUCCCGGGCUUGCUGGUGAUUCAGAAUAACCCGUCGAAUCGCACGGCCUUGCGCCGGCGAUGGUUCAAUCAAGCUUCUGCCCUAUCAACUUUCGACGGCUGGAUACGGGCCAGCCGUGGUGACCACGGGUAACGGAGGGUUAGGGCUCGACUCCGGAGAGUCCGCCUGAGAGACGGCGAACACAUCCAAGGAAGGCAGCAGGCGCGCAAAUUUCCCAAUCCCGACGCGGGAGGUAGUGACGAUAAAUACUGAUACAGGGCUCUUUUGGGUCUUGUAAUUGGAAUGAGUACAAUUCAAAUCCCUUAACGAGGACAACUAGAGGGCAAGUCUGGUGCCAGCAGCCGCGGUAAUUCCAGCUCUAGUGGCGUAUAUUAAAGUUGUUGCAGUUAAAAAGCUCGUAGUUGAUCAUCGGGCCUGGCCGCCCGGUCUGCCUCACCGCAUGCACUGGCGCGGCCGGGCCUUCUCCUCUGGGGAGCCGCAUGGCCUUCACUGGUCGUGCCGGGGAACCAGGGCCUUUACUGUGAAAAAAUUAGAGUGUUCAAAGCAGGCCUAUGCUCGGAUACAUUAGCAUGGAAUAAUAGAAUAGGACGCGCGGUUCUAUUUUGUUGGUUUCUAGGACCGCCGUAAUGAUUAAUAGGGACAGUCGGGGGCAUCAGUAUUCAGCCGUCAGAGGUGAAAUUCUUGGAUCGGCUGAAGACUAACUACUGCGAAAGCAUUUGCCAAGGAUGUUUUCAUUAAUCAGGAACGAAAGUUAGGGGAUCGAAAACGAUCAGAUACCGUUGUAGUCCUAACCAUAAACCAUGCCGACUGGGGAUCGGGCGGCGCUAUUUUUUGGACCGCCCGGCACCCUGCGCGAAAGCAAAGUGUUUGGGUUCUGGGGGGAGUACGGUCGCAAGGCUGAAACUUAAAGAAAUUGACGGAAGGGCACCACAAGGGGUGGAGCCUGCGGCUUAAUUUGACUCAACACGGGGAAACUCACCAGGUCCGGACACAACUAGGAUUGACAGAUUGAGAGCUCUUUCUUGAUUUUGUGGGUGGUGGUGCAUGGCCGUUCUUAGUUGGUGGAGUGAUUUGUCUGCUUAAU